rnacentral:rRNA from 1 species
GUUAAGCGACUAAGCGUACACGGUGGAUGCCCUGGCAGUCAGAGGCGAUGAAGGACGUGCUAAUCUGCGAUAAGCGUCGGUAAGGUGAUAUGAACCGUUAUAACCGGCGAUUUCCGAAUGGGGAAACCCAGUGUGAUUCGUCACACUAUCAUUAACUGAAUCCAUAGGUUAAUGAGGCGAACCGGGGGAACUGAAACAUCUAAGUACCCCGAGGAAAAGAAAUCAACCGAGAUUCCCCCAGUAGCGGCGAGCGAACGGGGAGCAGCCCAGAGCCUGAAUCAGUGUGUGUGUUAGUGGAAGCGUCUGGAAAGGCGCGCGAUACAGGGUGACAGCCCCGUACACAAAAAUGCACAUACUGUGAGCUCGAUGAGUAGGGCGGGACACGUGGUAUCCUGUCUGAAUAUGGGGGGACCAUCCUCCAAGGCUAAAUACUCCUGACUGACCGAUAGUGAACCAGUACCGUGAGGGAAAGGCGAAAAGAACCCCGGCGAGGGGAGUGAAAAAGAACCUGAAACCGUGUACGUACAAGCAGUGGGAGCCUCUUUAUGGGGUGACUGCGUACCUUUUGUAUAAUGGGUCAGCGACUUAUAUUCUGUAGCAAGGUUAACCGAAUAGGGGAGCCGAAGGGAAACCGAGUCUUAACUGGGCGUUAAGUUGCAGGGUAUAGACCCGAAACCCGGUGAUCUAGCCAUGGGCAGGUUGAAGGUUGGGUAACACUAACUGGAGGACCGAACCGACUAAUGUUGAAAAAUUAGCGGAUGACUUGUGGCUGGGGGUGAAAGGCCAAUCAAACCGGGAGAUAGCUGGUUCUCCCCGAAAGCUAUUUAGGUAGCGCCUCGUGAAUUCAUCUCCGGGGGUAGAGCACUGUUUCGGCAAGGGGGUCAUCCCGACUUACCAACCCGAUGCAAACUGCGAAUACCGGAGAAUGUUAUCACGGGAGACACACGGCGGGUGCUAACGUCCGUCGUGAAGAGGGAAACAACCCAGACCGCCAGCUAAGGUCCCAAAGUCAUGGUUAAGUGGGAAACGAUGUGGGAAGGCCCAGACAGCCAGGAUGUUGGCUUAGAAGCAGCCAUCAUUUAAAGAAAGCGUAAUAGCUCACUGGUCGAGUCGGCCUGCGCGGAAGAUGUAACGGGGCUAAACCAUGCACCGAAGCUGCGGCAGCGACACUAUGUGUUGUUGGGUAGGGGAGCGUUCUGUAAGCCUGUGAAGGUGUGCUGUGAGGUAUGCUGGAGGUAUCAGAAGUGCGAAUGCUGACAUAAGUAACGAUAAAGCGGGUGAAAAGCCCGCUCGCCGGAAGACCAAGGGUUCCUGUCCAACGUUAAUCGGGGCAGGGUGAGUCGACCCCUAAGGCGAGGCCGAAAGGCGUAGUCGAUGGGAAACAGGUUAAUAUUCCUGUACUUGGUGUUACUGCGAAGGGGGGACGGAGAAGGCUAUGUUGGCCGGGCGACGGUUGUCCCGGUUUAAGCGUGUAGGCUGGUUUUCCAGGCAAAUCCGGAAAAUCAAGGCUGAGGCGUGAUGACGAGGCACUACGGUGCUGAAGCAACAAAUGCCCUGCUUCCAGGAAAAGCCUCUAAGCAUCAGGUAACAUCAAAUCGUACCCCAAACCGACACAGGUGGUCAGGUAGAGAAUACCAAGGCGCUUGAGAGAACUCGGGUGAAGGAACUAGGCAAAAUGGUGCCGUAACUUCGGGAGAAGGCACGCUGAUAUGUAGGUGAAGUCCCUUGCGGAUGGAGCUGAAAUCAGUCGAAGAUACCAGCUGGCUGCAACUGUUUAUUAAAAACACAGCACUGUGCAAACACGAAAGUGGACGUAUACGGUGUGACGCCUGCCCGGUGCCGGAAGGUUAAUUGAUGGGGUUAGCGGUAACGCGAAGCUCUUGAUCGAAGCCCCGGUAAACGGCGGCCGUAACUAUAACGGUCCUAAGGUAGCGAAAUUCCUUGUCGGGUAAGUUCCGACCUGCACGAAUGGCGUAAUGAUGGCCAGGCUGUCUCCACCCGAGACUCAGUGAAAUUGAACUCGCUGUGAAGAUGCAGUGUACCCGCGGCAAGACGGAAAGACCCCGUGAACCUUUACUAUAGCUUGACACUGAACAUUGAGCCUUGAUGUGUAGGAUAGGUGGGAGGCUUUGAAGUGUGGACGCCAGUCUGCAUGGAGCCGACCUUGAAAUACCACCCUUUAAUGUUUGAUGUUCUAACGUUGGCCCCUAAUCGGGGUUGCGGACAGUGUCUGGUGGGUAGUUUGACUGGGGCGGUCUCCUCCUAAAGAGUAACGGAGGAGCACGAAGGUUGGCUAAUCCUGGUCGGACAUCAGGAGGUUAGUGCAAUGGCAUAAGCCAGCUUGACUGCGAGCGUGACGGCGCGAGCAGGUGCGAAAGCAGGUCAUAGUGAUCCGGUGGUUCUGAAUGGAAGGGCCAUCGCUCAACGGAUAAAAGGUACUCCGGGGAUAACAGGCUGAUACCGCCCAAGAGUUCAUAUCGACGGCGGUGUUUGGCACCUCGAUGUCGGCUCAUCACAUCCUGGGGCUGAAGUAGGUCCCAAGGGUAUGGCUGUUCGCCAUUUAAAGUGGUACGCGAGCUGGGUUUAGAACGUCGUGAGACAGUUCGGUCCCUAUCUGCCGUGGGCGCUGGAGAACUGAGGGGGGCUGCUCCUAGUACGAGAGGACCGGAGUGGACGCAUCACUGGUGUUCGGGUUGUCAUGCCAAUGGCACUGCCCGGUAGCUAAAUGCGGAAGAGAUAAGUGCUGAAAGCAUCUAAGCACGAAACUUGCCCCGAGAUGAGUUCUCCCUGACCCUUUAAGGGUCCUGAAGGAACGUUGAAGACGACGACGUUGAUAGGCCGGGUGUGUAAGCGCAGCGAUGCGUUGAGCUAACCGGUACUAAUGAACCGUGAGGCUUAACCU